UGGGGAAUUUUGGACAAUGGGCGCAAGCCUGAUCCAGCCAUGCCGCGUGCGGGAAGAAGGCCUUCGGGUUGUAAACCGCUUUUGUCAGGGAAGAAAUCUUCUGAGUUAAUACCUCGGGAGGAUGACGGUACCUGAAGAAUAAGCACCGGCUAACUACGUGCCAGCAGCCGCGGUAAUACGUAGGGUGCAAGCGUUAAUCGGAAUACUGGGCGUAAAGCGUGCGCAGGCGGUUUUGUAAGACAGAGGUGAAAUCCCCGGGCUCAACCUGGGAACUGCCUUUGUGACUGCAAGGCUUGAGUGCGGCAGAGGGGGGAUGGAAUUCCGCGUGUAGCAGUGAAAUGCGUAGAUAUGCGGAGGAACACCGAUGGCGAAGGCAAUCCCCUGGGCCUGCACUGACGCUCAUGCACGAAAGCGUGGGGAGCAAACAGGAUUAGAUACCCUGGUAGUCCACGCCCUAAACGAUGUCAACUGGUUGUUGGGAAGGUUCCUUCUCAGUAACGUAGCUAACGCGUGAAGUUGACCG
rnacentral:rRNA from 1 species